GAGCUACAAGACAGGAAAACAACAGUAAGUGAAAUACAAUGCUCAAUUCAACCAGUCUGGCAUCAUAUCACAAAUCAGUGACAUAAUAUAAUCAAAGAGAUUCAAAGCAAGAUGAAUGUGUUCAAUAAGUUCAAAGGAUCAAAUAACAGUUCAUUUACAUACAUGAAAAAUCAUCAAGGAAACAACAGAUGAAACAUACAACAUAAACAAACAAAUACAUAAAUGAUAAGAAUCCAAGUAACUAGAAGCUAUUAAACAAAUGCAAAAUACACUUCCAACUGUGAAACACAAAGAAAGGCCUAGAUGACAUAGUUAUUAAAGGCUCAAGG
rnacentral:misc_RNA from 1 species